rnacentral:lncRNA from 1 species
UUUUAUUUUUUCCCCAAAUUGAUUAAAGUAUAAUAAGAAAUUUUGGGUAUAUAUUAAACCUAAUCUGUUCUAUUUACUACGGGUUUUGAUUUUGAUUUAUGCCAUGAGUUUUUUUUUUUAAUUUAUCUACUAUCUACUAUAUAUGGCAGGAAAGAGCUUAAUGAUAGCUUAAUGGGUUUAGAGGAUAGUUUCUAAGGCAUAUAUGCUCAUGAACGAAGAAACAACGUUAAACAAGAGUUAUUGUUGGUUAUUCGAUUGAACUUGGAUUUACUAAUAGAUCACAUGGUGUGUCUUGACCGCAAAUUUAGUAAAGCUGUAAAGAACAUAUGAGAAAUGUAUGUGGAUAACUAGUUCAAUCAAAGUCCCAAUUUUCGUUAUCGAAUGGUCUCUUCAAUCGUGAUGGUGGAAAUUGCAUCCAAUUGCAGAAUCAGAGAGACUAUAUGUAUAUGCUUAAGAAUCGAAGACUAACUAUUAGACUGAAUCCGAAUAUCUUUUCUACU